CCCGGACCUUGUACACACCGCCCGUCAAGCCAUGGAAGCCGGGUGUACCUAAAGUCGGUAGCCUAACCGCAAGGAGGGCGCUUACCACGGUGUGGCCAAUGACUGGGGUG
rnacentral:rRNA from 1 species